GGGGUUUGUGUGUGUGUACAUGGUGGGCUGGGGUGUGUGUGUGUGUGUACAUGGUGGGCUGGGGUUUGUGUGUGUGUACAUGGUGGGCUGGGGUGUGUGUGUGUGUGUACAUGGUGGGCUGGGGUGUGUGUGUACAUGGUGGGCUGGGGUGUGUGUGUGUGUGUACAUGGUGGGCUGGGGUGUGUGUGUGUGUGUACAUGGUGGGCUGGGGUGUGUGUGUGUGUACAUGGUGGGCUGGGGUUUGUGUGUGUGUGUGUGUGUACAUGGUGGGCUGGGGUGUGUGUGUGUGUGUGUACAUGAUGGGCUGGGGUGUGUGUGUGUGUACAUGGUGGGCUGGUGUGUGUGUGUGUACAUGGUGGGCUGGUGUGUGUGUGUGUACAUGGUGGGCUGGGGUGUGUGUGUACAUGAUGGGCUGGGGUGUGUGUGUGUGUGUGUGUGUGUACAUGGUGGGCUGGGGCGUGUGUGUGUGUACAUGAUGGGCUGGGGUGUGUGUGUGUGUGUGUGUGUACAUGGUGGGCUGGGGUUUGUGAGUGUGUGUACAUGAUGGGCUGGGGUGUGUGUGUGUACAUGGUGGGCUUGGGUGUGUGUUAGUGUGUGUGUGUACAUGAUGGGCUGGGGUGUGUGUUUGUGUGUGUACAUGGUGGGCUGAGUUUUGUGUGUGUGUGUGUGUGUACAUACGUGGUGGGCUGGGUUUGUGUGUGUGUGUGUGUACAUGGUGGGCUGGGUUGUGUGUGUACAUGGUGGGAUGGGUUGUGUGUGUACAUGGUGGGCUGGGGUGUGUGUGUACAUGAUGGGCUGGGGUGUGUGUGUGUGUGUGUGUGUGUACAUGGUGGUGUGUGUGUGUGUACAUGGUGGUGUGUGUGUGUGUGUGUGUACAUGGUGGUGGUGUGUGUGUGUGUACGUGGUGGUGGUGGUGUGUGUGUGUGUACAUGGUGGUGUGUGUGUACAUGGUGGUGUGUGUGUACAUGGUGGUGUGUGUGUGUGUACGUGGUGGUGGUGUGUGUGUGUGUGUGUACAUGGUGGUGGUGGUGUGUGUGUGUGUGUACAUGGUGGUGUGUGUGUGUACAUGGUGGUGGUGUGUGUGUGUGUGUGUGUGUGUACAUGGUGGUGUGUGUGUGUGUGUACGUGGUGGUGGUGUGUGUGUGUACAUGGUGGUGUGUGUGUGUGUACAUGGUGGUGUGUGUGUGUGUGUGUGUACAUGGUGGUGUGUGUACAUGGUGGUGUGUGUGUGUGUGUACAUGGUGGUGUGUGUGUGUGUGUACAUGGUGGUGUGUGUGUGUGUGUACAUGGUGGUGUGUGUGUGUGUGUACAUGGUGGUGUGUGUGUGUGUGUACAUGGUGGUGUGUGUGUGUGUACAUGGUGGUGUGUGUGUGUGUGUACAUGGUGGUGUGUGUGUGUGUGUACAUGGUGGUGUGUGUGUGUGUGUACAUGGUGGUGUGUGUGUGUGUGUACAUGGUGGUGUGUGUGUGUGUGUGUUUGUACGUGGUGUGUGUGUGUGUGUGUGUGUGUACAUGGUGGUUGUGUGUGUGUGUGUGUGUGUGUACAUGGUGGGCUGGGGUGUGUGUGUACAUGGUGGGCUGGGGUGUGUGUGUACAUGGUGGGCUGGGGUGUGUGUGUGUGUGUACAUGGUGGGCUGGGGUGUGUGUGUGUGUGUACAUGGUGGGCUGGGGUGUGUGUGUGUGUGUGUACAUGGUGGGCUGCGGUGUGUGUGUGUGUACAUGGUGGGCUGGGGUGUGUGUGUGUGUGUGUACAUGGUGGGCUGGGGUGUGUGUGUACAUGGUGGGCUGGGGUGUGUGUGUGUGUUUACAUGGUGGGCUGGGGUGUGUGUGUGUGUGUACAUGGUGGGCUGGGGUGUGUGUGUGUGUGUACAUGUUGUGCUGGGGUGUGUGUGUGUGUUUAAAUGGUGGGCUGGGGUGUGUGUGUGUGUGUACAUGGUGGGCUGGGGUGUGUGUGUGUGUACAUGGUGGGCUGGGGUGUGUGUUUGUGUGUGUACAUGAUGGGCUGGGGUGUGUGUGUGUACAUGGUGGGCCGGGGUGUGUGUGUGUGUGUGUGUGUGUGUACAUGGUGGGCUGGGGUGUGUGUGUGUGUACAUGGUGGGCUGGUGUGUGUGUGUGUACAUGGUGGGCUGGGGUGUGUGUGUGUGUGUACAUGGUGGGCUGGGUUUGUGUGUGUGUGUACAUGGUGGGCUGGGUUUGUGUGUGUGUACAUGGUGGGCUGGGGUGUGUGUGUGGUGUACAUGGUGGGCUGGGUUGUGUACAUGGUGGGCUGGGUUUGUGUGUGUGUGUACAUGGUGGGCUGGGGUUUGUGUGUGUGUACAUGGUGGGCUGGGGUGUGUGUGUGUGUGUACAUGGUGGGCUGGGGUGUGUGUGUACAUGGUGGGCUGGGGUGUGUGUGUGUGUGUACAUGGUGGGCUGGGUUGUGUGUGUACAUGAUGGGCUGGGGUGUGUGUGUGUGUACAUGGUGGGCUGGGGUGUGUGUGUGUGUGUACAUGGUGGGCUGGGGUGUGUGUGUGUGUGUACAUGGUGGGCUGGGGUGUGUGUGUGUGUGUGUGUGUGUACAUGGUGGGCUGGGGUGUGUGUGUGUGUGUGUGUGUGUACAUGAUGGGCUGGGGUGUGUGUGUGUGUACAUGGUGGGCUGGUGUGUGUGUGUGUACAUGGUGGGCUGGGGUGUGUGUGUACAUGGUGGGCUGGGGUGUGUGUGUACAUGAUGGGCUGGGGUGUGUGUGUGUGUGUACAUGGUGGGCUGGGGUGUGUGUGUGUGUGUACAUGGUGGGCUGGGGUGUGUGUGUGUGUGUACAUGGUGGGCUGGUGUGUGUGUGUGUGUGUGUGUGUGUACAUGGUGGGCUGGGGUGUGUGUGUGUGUGUGUACAUGAUGGGCUGGGGUGUGUGUGUGUGUACAUGGUGGGCUGGUGUGUGUGUGUGUACAUGGUGGGCUGGGGCGUGUGUGUGUGUACAUGAUGGGCUGGGGUGUGUGUGUGUGUGUGUGUGUACAUGGUGGGCUGGGGUUUGUGAGUGUGUGUACAUGAUGGGCUGGGGUGUGUGUGUGUACAUGGUGGGCUUGGGUGUGUGUUAGUGUGUGUGUGUACAUGAUGGGCUGGGGUGUGUGUUUGUGUGUGUACAUGGUGGGCUGAGUUUUGUGUGUGUGUGUGUGUGUGUGUGUGUACAUACGUGGUGGGCUGGGUUUGUGUGUGUGUGUGUGUGUACAUGGUGGGCUGGGUUGUGUGUGUACAUGGUGGGAUGGGUUGUGUGUGUACAUGGUGGGCUGAGGUGUGUGUGUACAUGGUGGGCUGGGUUGUGUGUGUACAUGGUGGGCUGGGUUGUGUGUGUGUGUAUGUACAUGGUGGGCUGGGUUGUGUGUGUGUGUAUGUACAUGGUGGGCUGGGUUGUGUGUGUGUGUGUGUAUGUACAUGGUGGGCUGGGUUGUGUGUGUGUGUGUGUAUGUACAUGGUGGGCUGGGUUGUGUGUGUGUGUGUGUGUACAUGGUGGGCUGAGUUGUGUGUGUGUGUGUGUACAUGGUGGGCUGGGUUGUGUGUGUGUGUACAUGGUGGGCUGGGUUGUGUGUGUGUACAUGGUGGGCUGGGUUGUGUGUGUGUGUACAUGGUGGGCUGGGUUGUGUGUGCGUGUACAUGGUGGGCUGGGUUGUGUGUGUGUGUACAUGGUGGGCUGGGUUGUGUGUGUGUGUACAUGGUGGGCUGGGUUGUGUGUGUGUGUACAUGGUGGGCUGGGUUGUGUGUGUGUGUGUGUACAUGGUGGGCUGGGUUGUGUGUGUACAUGGUGGGCUGGGUUGUGUGUGUGUGUGUGUGUGUGUACAUGGUGGGCUGGGUUGUGUGUGUACAUGGUGGGCUGGGUUGUGUGUGUGUGUGUGUACAUGGUGGGCUGGGUUGUGUGUGUGUGUGUGUGUGUGAAUGUACAUGGUGGGCUGGGUUGUGUGUGUACAUGGUGGGCUGGGUUGUGUGUGUGUGUGUGUACAUGGUGGGCUGGGUUGUGUGUGUACAUGGUGGGCUGGUGGGCUGCUGCUGUAUCCUGCCCAGACCGACACCAAAGACCUGCAAAAGCGAAGAGGGGAUGAUCAGAGGGCCUGGUAUCUUGUCCAAACUUUCUGUGUGUUUAAUAGCGGCAACCGGGUAACAUAACUUGGAGAAACCGGUAUAUUAUAAUAAUUUAUUUCUAUGAACAGCAUGGGGUGAAAUGGAACUGUUAUAUGCAAUGUCUAAAUCUUGCUUCUCACGGCCUUCUUUAGUAACUGCAUGAUCAAUCAUCAACGCUCAGUGUGUGUCUGAGUGUGUGUGUGCUGUUGUACUUGCCUAUCGUAUUUACUAUGUUGUUUAAGCAUAUUUUUUAUGCUGUAACUUUACAUGCCACCUUGAACUGCAGUUGGUAGGCCUAUAGCAGGGCUGCCCAACCCUCUUCCUGGAGUUCUACUGUCCUCUAGGUUUUCGGUCCAACCCUAAUUUAGCAUAUCUGAUGACAAUCCCAAAUGUAUUUAUUUUAUGGAUGUCGGAUGUUGAUUGAUUGAUUUAAUUAUCAUAAAAUUCCUAUGAAUAGCCUAUGCCUUCGUUAACAAAUAACACCUUGCGAGAUUAUCAAUGUCGAACAUUGCUUUAGAAUUACUGUUAGGCUAACGAAUGACGCAAAUGAUACUUUAGAAUUACUGUUAUGCUAGGCUAACGAAUGAUACAAAUGAUACUUUAGAAUUACUGUUAUGCUAGGCUAACGAAUGAUACAAAUGAUACUUUAGAAUUACUGUUAUGCUAGGCUAACGAAUGUUACAAAUGCCAUUGGAACAUUUUAGAUUUGAUGUUUAAUAACACAUUGGAAUGGCAUAUGAUCCUGUCCCAUUGGUUUUAUAUGCUUUAGAAUGACACUUCUGGUUUUGGCUGGAAUCACCCGGUUACCUGGAAGAAUAGUUAUUUAUUUUCAGAAUGGAACAUUUGUAAAAUAAUUGUAAAAUAUUGAGGGGGGGGGCUUUGGAAUAUUGUUCUUGUGUAGUACUGGUUGGCUUUCUUUCUCCAUGCUGGACUGGAUCAUUUCAGAAUGGCGGUGUGUGUGUAUUCUCGUCUGUUUGUGUGCUUGUCUUUGUCUGUGUGUGCUGUGAGUCAUAGAUCAAAUAUUUUCCUUGCUAUGAUUUGGUUAGAGCCUUACCUCAGAGGGCCCCUACGUGUCUUAGCCCCACCCUUGCCGGCAGAGAUGCCUCCUGAGUGGUCGGUCCCAGUGAUUGACAUAGCCUUUGGCUCCUCUGGCCCUUCCCUCCAGUCAUAUGACUUGAGGCGUCAGUAGGGUUGCAAAGGGUCAAAAACUUUCCAGAUAUUUUCCAUUUUGCUUAAAUUCAUCAAAAAGUUAGCUUAACAGUGAACCUUUUUUGUGGGAUGCACAUAAAGGCAACUCUAGGUAUUGUGACAUAUUUUGGUUAAACUAUCCCAAAUUCAUUGGAAUUGCAACCCUCUGCAUGCACAGUGCAUUCUUCCAUCACAUUUACAGCUGAUUCUCAAUAUCUAAAUGAGAUGCUAUUGAGCCCACACUACUACACUGUCUGAGCCAAGGACUACAUGCUUUCUGGAAAAAGCCACCGGCACCAUCUGAUGUGUGGAGACCUUUCACUGCAGCCAAUAUAGAAGGAAAAGCUGUGUACAUUUGCAAACACUGUGCCAAAUCAUAUGUGAAGAAUGCGACAAUGAUGCAGAAUCAUCUGGCCAAGUGCAUAAAGUUCCCUCAGGGCUCACAACAAGCAAUCUCUUCUUCUAUUCAAGGUGAAAAUGAUGAAUCAGACACCUUAUCGAUAGCAACAGCUCAUGGUCUUCCUGGAAUCAGAAGUUUUUUUGGCUCAAUGGAGGAACGUAGUCAGAGAAAUGCUGACGCAUACACAGCUCGAGCAAGAUAUUCAACUGGUUCACGUCUGAUGCUCACAGGCCAUGUGUGUUGGAAGAGCUUUCUGAAUGUUCUUCGCCCAGCAUACAUCCCUUCAACCAGACAUGCUUUAAUCUACUCAUUUGCUGGAUGAAGUUCAACGGAGUUCAACUGAAGGUCAAACAAAUCAUAGCAAAGCAGACUGUAUUGCAAUAAUCUCUGAUGGAUGGACAAAUGUUCAUGGGCAAGGAAUAAUUAACUACAUCUCCACCCCUCAACUAGUAUUCUACAAGAGCACAGACACAAGGGACAACAGACACACCGGUUUCUACUUUGCAGUUGAGCUGAAGGUAGUCAUCUAUGACCUUGGACCACAAAAGGUAUUUGCACUGGUGACAGACAAUGCUGCGAACAUGAAGACUGCUUGGUCUAAAGUGGAGGAGUCCUACUCUCACAUCACACCCAUUGGCUGUGCUGCUCAUGCAUUUAUUCUGCUCCUCAAUGACAUCAUGGCACUGAAAGCAAUGGAUACACUCUACACGAGAGUCAAGGAAAUGGUUAGAUAUGUAGAGGGUCAUCAGGUUGUAGCAGCAAUCUACCUCACCAAGCAAAGUGAGAAGAAUUAAGAGCACCACAUUGAAGCUGCCCAGCAUCAUCUGUUGGGGUGGUGUUGUCAUCAUGUUUGACAGUCUCCUGGAGGGGAAGGAGUCUCUCCAAGAAAUGUCCAUAUCACAGUCUGCUGAUAUGGGCAGCCCCAUCAAGAGGAUCCUCCUGGAUUAUGUAUAUUGGGAGAAAGUGGUAAGCAGC